AUGGCGGCGGGGUACCGGGCGGAGGACGACUACGACUACCUCUUCAAGGUCGUCCUCAUCGGCGACUCCGGCGUCGGCAAGUCCAACCUGCUCUCCCGCUUCACCCGCAACGAGUUCAGCCUCGAGUCCAAGUCCACCAUCGGGGUCGAGUUCGCCACCCGCUCCCUCCAGGUCGACGGCAAGGUCGUCAAGGCCCAGAUUUGGGACACCGCCGGCCAGGAACGGUACCGUGCUAUUACUAGCGCAUACUACCGUGGUGCUGUAGGAGCGUUGCUUGUCUACGACGUCACCCGGCACGCAACCUUCGAGAAUGCAGAGCGCUGGCUGAAGGAACUGAGGGACCAUACGGAUCCGAACAUAGUUGUCAUGCUUGUUGGCAACAAGUCUGAUCUCCGCCAUCUCGUGGCCGUCCCAACCGACGAAGGGAAGGCCUUUGCAGAGAGGGAGUCACUCUAUUUCAUGGAGACCUCUGCGCUCGAGUCGACCAAUGUUGAGGACGCUUUUGCGGAGGUCUUGAAACAGAUUUACCGCAUCGUGAGCAAGAGGGCGGUCGAGGCGGGUGAAGACUCGGCCGCUGGCCCUGGCAAGGGUGAGAAGAUCAACAUGAAGGACGAUGUCUCGGCGGUGAAGAAGGGCGGGUGCUGCUCUAGCUGA
rnacentral:rRNA from 1 species